UUUUGAGGGUGACUUGCGGAGGUAGAUGAUGGGUUGUUGCCGGCCCUUACAUGAGAGCAUGUGCACACUUUGUACAUUCCAAUUCUUACACCUCUGUGCACUUCUCAUAGAUUUAGUGUGGAAGAGAUCUUAUUGAUCUUGGAAACGCUGAAUCUGUGUUUUUACAAACGCUUUAGUAUUAGAAUGUCAUCUGCGAAUAACGCAAUAAAUACAACUUUCAGCAACGGAUCUCUUGGCUCUCGCAUCGAUGAAGAACGCAGCGAAAUGCGAUAAGUAAUGUGAAUUGCAGAAUUCAGUGAAUCAUCGAAUCUUUGAACGCACCUUGCGCCCCUUGGUAUUCCGAGGGGCAUGCCUGUUUGAGUGUCAUGGUAUUCUCAAUACCCUACAUCUUUGCGGAUGAAGGUGUAUUGGAUUUGGAGGUUUAUGUUGGCUCUCUUGAUAGUCACUCCUCUUAAAUGAAUUAACAUAAAGAUACUGCUACUCUCCAUGGGUGAUUGACUAGCUGUUAGGAAGCAGGGAGUGAAGUCUAUGCUUCUCUCCAAUCCGCCCGGGAUUUUUUUCGGACCUCAACCCCCGUGAGGAGGACUCCCGUUGACCUUUCGUUUUCAAGGAAGAAAGAA
rnacentral:rRNA from 1 species